CAUUUGGUUAAAUUUAAUAUAAUUGAAGCCAGAGUUAAUGCGAGUUAUUAUUAUUUAUAAUAACAAUUGCGUAUAAUUAAGAACCCGAACCCGGAUGAAUUAAUCUUGUCCAUAAUGAAAUAUAGAUAAGUCUAUAUAGAGGUUCGAACUGGUUGAUAUUGCAAAAUCAUCAGAAGAGAUGAGAUUAGCGGUGAAAUGCUUAUCGAAUUCGGAGCUAGCUGGUUCUCCUCGAAAUGCGUUGAGGCGCAGCUAUUAUAAAUACAUAUUUAAGGGGUGGUAAAGCACUAUAUAUAAUAUAUAAUAUUGUAUUAACAAUAUAAUAAUUUAUAUAUAAACUAAUAAUACCUAAUUAUGUUAUAAAAAUAAUAAGUGAGACUAUUGGGGAGAAUCUCAAGAGUCUAAAGGGAAACAACCCACAUCAAUUUGCAGCUCAGAUGUCACUGGGGUUAGGACAUAUGCCCCAGAGGCCCAUAGGGUUCCAGGACGGCAAAAACAUGAGGAAUUUCCUCGAUCUUGUGCAGAUAGAUUUCGUUGAACGAGGGCUGGAAGCUCGGCAGUGGGGAGAAGAACUCAAAAGAUAUCUGAUGGGCGACGCCUUGGGUUACUGGU
rnacentral:ncRNA from 1 species